rnacentral:rRNA from 4 species
UUAAUUGAAGAGUUUGAUCAUGGCUCAGAUUGAACGCUGGCGGCAGGCCUAACACAUGCAAGUCGAGCGGUAACAGAUUGAUAGCUUGCUAUCAAUGCUGACGAGCGGCGGACGGGUGAGUAAUGCCUGGGAAUAUGCCCUGAUGUGGGGGAUAACUAUUGGAAACGAUAGCUAAUACCGCAUAAUCUCUUCGGAGCAAAGAGGGGGACCUUCGGGCCUCUCGCGUCAGGAUUAGCCCAGGUGGGAUUAGCUUGUUGGUGGGGUAAUGGCUCACCAAGGCAACGAUCCCUAGCUGGUCUGAGAGGAUGAUCAGCCACACUGGAACUGAGACACGGUCCAGACUCCUACGGGAGGCAGCAGUGGGGAAUAUUGCACAAUGGGGGAAACCCUGAUGCAGCCAUGCCGCGUGUAUGAAGAAGGCCUUCGGGUUGUAAAGUACUUUCAGUUGUGAGGAAGGC